rnacentral:rRNA from 1 species
GACGUAGGAUCCGAGCGUUGUCCGGAGUUACUGGGCGUAAAGCGCGCGCAGGCGGACACGCGCAUCGGCGGUGAAAGCCCCCCGCUCAACGGGGGAGGGUCCGUCGAGAUGGCGUGUCUGGAGGCAGGGAGAGGCCAGUGGAAUUCCGGGUGUAGUGGUGAAAUGCGUAGAGAUCCGGAGGAACACCAGUGGCGAAGGCGAGUCCCUGGACAACACCUGACACUGAGGCACGAAAGCUAGGGGAGCAAACAGG